rnacentral:rRNA from 1 species
ACUCCUACGGGAGGCAGCAGUGGGGAAUAUUGCACAAUGGGCGCAAGCCUGAUGCAGCCAUGCCGCGUGUGUGAAGAAGGCCUUCGGGUUGUAAAGCACUUUCAGUCGUGAGGAAGGUAGUGUAGUUAAUAGCUGCAUUAUUUGACGUUAGCGACAGAAGAAGCACCGGCUAACUCCGUGCCAGCAGCCGCGGUAAUACGUAGGUGGCAAAGCGUUAUCCGGAAUUAUUGGGCGUAAAGCGCGCGUAGGCGGUUUUUUAAGUCUGAUGUGAAAGCCCACGGCUCAACCGUGGAGGGUCAUUGGAAACUGGAAAACUUGAGUGCAGAANAGGAAAGUGGAAUUCCAUGUGUAGCGGUGAAAUGCGCAGAGAUAUGGAGGAACACCAGUGGCGAAGGCGANUUUCUGGUCUGUAACUGACGCUGAUGUGCGAAAGCGUGGGGAUCAAACAGGAUUAGAUACCCUGGUAGCUA